rnacentral:rRNA from 1 species
UACGUAGGGGGCAAGCGUUGUCCGGAUUUAUUGGGCGUAAAGAGCGUGUAGGCGGUUUGGUAGGUCCGCUGUGAAAACUCGAGGCUCAACCUCGAGACGCCGGUGGAAACCAUCAGGCUAGAGUCCGGAAGAGGAGAGUGGAAUUCCUGGUGUAGCGGUGAAAUGCGCAGAUAUCAGGAGGAACACCAGCGGCGAAGGCGGCGCUCUGGGCCGGUACUGACGCUGAGGAGCGAAAGCGUGGGUAGCAAACAGG